rnacentral:lncRNA from 1 species
AACUUUUUGUUCCUUUACGAAUUUACCUACAUGUUAGUGACCCGAUGGAACGAAGAAAGCCUACGUUAGGUUAACUCCAGACUACGAUGCUUUGGAUGUUGCUAACAAGAUUGGAAUAAUCUAAGGUAAAAUGUCGUGUCAGUUUAAAGGGAGAAUGUAUGCUCACCGUGACAGUUUUGUUAGUUUCAUGUUCUUGAAUACUAAUUCAAGUUUAAUGUGAGUAUUUUCAAUCUGGAUUCAACUUUUGUUAUAGUUGCUGUUUUAAUUAUUGUUUUUAUGGAGCUCUUGCUGAAGGAAAUAGCAUUUGUUAAUUGUUUUUAUGCAUCUUCAAAUGUGACCGAAGACAUUCAUUAGUAUCAUAAGUCUGAAGGGUGUGGGGUUGCGCCUCCCCUCCGAAUGGGGGCUUAUGAUUGGUGGUCAGCCCUGCCAACACAACCCACACCUAGUCACUCAUGAACCCAUCUUUGGCGCCUUUCUUUAGCACCCCUGGGUGUUAUGCCAGGCAUUAACAUGCUGAUGUGUAGGGGGUGGCAACCCACACUAUCCAGCCUCAACAUGCAUUCAAGAUAUACCGAAAUGAACUCGUAUUCAGCAUUUCAGCUUUAUUAUCAACGUACCUUCAUGCUUUUACAUACACUUCAUUGCCUUCUCAUUUCAACAGUGAACUGUUUCAAAAAUACAGUGUAUUAGUGUCACCGUCAACUAUUUCUAGCCACAUGGCUAAUUCACAAUUCGUCCUUGAAAGUGGUUAUAAGUAGAGAAGGGAGAAAAUGUUGUUUAUUUGUAAAUUUGAGAUGACACUGUUCACCUGUUAUAUUUUUUAAAUUAAUAAUUAAUAUAUUUUAGAAAUGGUUGUGAGUGGAUAAGAGAGAAAAUAUAAUGAUAAAAGU